AAGCUUGCUUUUCUGAGACCGGCGCACGGGUGCGUAACGCGUAUGCAAUCUACCUUUCACAGAGGGAUAGCCCAGAGAAAUUUGGAUUAAUACCUCAUAGUAUAAUUGAGUGGCAUCAUUUAAUUAUUAAAGAUUUAUCGGUGAAAGAUGAGCAUGCGUCCCAUUAGCUAGUUGGUAUGGUAACGGCAUACCAAGGCUACGAUGGGUAGGGGUCCUGAGAGGGAGAUCCCCCACACUGGUACUGAGACACGGACCAGACUCC
rnacentral:rRNA from 1 species